GCAGCACGCAUCCGGCGCAACACUUCGGCCCGCGCGUUGGGUCUAAACAUUUUCCUUAAUAUAAUGACUCAGAAAAUCAAAUAUGACAAUUAGGCAGCCAUAGGCAUCAUUGUUCCCUAACACCAAAGGCUCUGAAGACUAAAUGCAGUCCCCUGUUGCAAAUCUGAAAACCAUGACCGUAACUCCGUAAGGUAAGACAUCGACGACAAAUAUAAUGGAAUAAUGCACGUCCUUUAUGCAAAGGAUUCACUACAAAAUGACAGUAUUGCUCCCACAUAACGCAAUGAAAAUUUGUACUGAUUGCUCAUAUGCUCUAGGAUGGAGUAGGUGUCUACAGUUCUUCGUGUGUUACGGCAAAAAGGAAUACUCCCGGCACGAGAGAAACGAUCAAACAAAUCAUCAUUGUAGAGGUGUCCUGCAGUUCUUUAUCCUGGUACACAAAUCGCAUCAUCAAGAGCGAAACCACCAUUGCCAAGCUAUACGUAGCUGCAAUACCCUGGGAAAUCAUAGUAAACCUGUCAGAACAACAUGACAGCGCAUUACUCUUGGUAUUCGGACGAAACAGAUGAGCUGAAUAACUGAGUAAAUUCAGACGUGAAGCACUAAACAUCUGAGGCAUCUAACCAUUGAAACCAAGCAAUAGAGCUAGUGUUAGAUAAGAGGGUCAUCAAGGAAGGAGAUAUAGUACGUAGUCGUACCCUAACAAAGAUUGCCCCGAAUCUCUUCUCGGCGGCGGUUGGUUGGGUCGGAGGUGGUCGUCGGCCUUCUUCCAUCCCGCGGAAGAGACGAUCAUCUUGAAUCGCUGGAGUUCCCGGCGUGUGCAACAACGGAGCAGAGCGAGAUUGGUCGCGUUGACGGGACGAUUUCAUCAUAAGCAGGUGACGACCCGCUAAGAAGAACGGGAAUCCAGCCAUGGAUGGAACGAGCCGGCGCCUGACGUCAGGAGAGGAGAUGGAUCGCCGUGAAACCUCAAGCGCAGCCAAGGCAAGGCAGGCCGAUGAGGAGUCUUCCUUGUAGGGAGAGGGCGUGCUCGGCUUUGACUCUAUGGCUUCUGUUUAUUGGACACGAAUAUUGAUCUGACGUUCGAUCGAACGCAUCCCUGGAGAGAACGAAAGGUUCGUCCAAGGGCAGUACUCCGGCCCAAUCGUUUCG
rnacentral:lncRNA from 1 species